rnacentral:lncRNA from 1 species
AUAUAUGGAGGAGGAGGCGAUGGUGGAGGAGGAGAUGGGUAAACAUAAGGUGGAGGAGGUGGUGAUUUGUAUACGUAUGGAGGAGGUGGUGAUGGUGGAGGAGGAGACGGGUAAACGUAAGGUGGAGGAGGUGGUGACUUGUACACAUAUGGAGGAGGUGGGGGUGACUUGUACACAUAUGGAGGAGGUGGUGAUGGUGGAGGAGGAGACGGGUAAACAUAAGGUGGAGGAGGUGGUGACUUGUACACGUAUGGAGGAGGUGGGGGUGACUUGUACACAUAUGGAGGAGGUGGCGGUGACUUGUAUACAUACGGAGGAGGUGGUGAUGGUGGAGGAGGAGACGGGUAAACGUAAGGUGGAGGAGGUGGUGACUUGUACACGUAUGGAGGAGGUGGGGGUGACUUGUAUACAUAUGGAGGUGGCGGUGAUGGUGGAGGAGGAGACGGGUAAACAUAAGGUGGAGGAGGUGGUGACUUGUACACAUAUGGAGGAGGUGGUGGUGAUUUAUAGACAUAAG